AAUGAACGUUGGCGGCAUGGAUUAGGCAUGCAAGUCGCGCGACAAGCCAUUUUUAGCUUGCUAUUUAUGGUGGAGGAGCGGCGAAAGGGUGAGUAACGCGUGGAUCACCUACCCAGGGGUGCGGAAUAGCGGCUGGAAACGGCCGGUAAUGCCGCAUGAUGUCUCCGGACCAAAGCUUCGGCGCCCUUGGACGGGUCCGCGUAUCAUUAGCUAGUUGGUGGGGUAAAGGCCUACCAAGGCGAAGAUGAUUAGUGGGCGUGAGAGCGUGGCCCACCACACUGGGACUGAGACACUGCCCAGACACCUACGGGUGGCUGCAGUCGAGAAUCUUUGUCAAUGGACGCAAGUCUGGACAAGCGAUGCCGCGUGCGGGAUGAAGGCCUUCGGGUUGUAAACCGCUGUCAGAGGGGAGCAAAAUUUUGAGCGAUCCUCAGAGGAAGCCCGGGCUAAGUUCGUGCC
rnacentral:rRNA from 1 species